CCUACGGGAGGCAGCAGUGAGGAAUAUUGGUCAAUGGACGAGAGUCUGAACCAGCCAAGUAGCGUGAAGGAUGACUGCCCUAUGGGUUGUAAACUUCUUUUAUAUGGGAAUAAAACGUUCCACGUGUGGGAUUUUGUAUGUACCAUAUGAAUAAGGAUCGGCUAACUCCGUGCCAGCAGCCGCGGUAAUACGGAGGAUCCGAGCGUUAUCCGGAUUUAUUGGGUUUAAAGGGAGCGUAGGUGGAUUGUUAAGUCAGUUGUGAAAGUUUGCGGCUCAACCGUAAAAUUGUAGUUGAAACUGACAGUCUUGAGUACAGGAGAGGUGUGCGGAAUUCGUGGUGUAGCGGUGAAAUGCUUAGAUAUCACGAAGAACUCCGAUUGCGAAGGCAGUUCACUGGACUGCAACUGACACUGAGGCUCGAAAGUGUGGGUAUCAAACAGGAUUAGAUACCCCAGUAGUC
rnacentral:rRNA from 1 species